UACGUAGGUGGCAAGCGUUGUCCGGAUUUACUGGGCGUAAAGGGCGUGCAGGCGGUUUGUUAAGUGCAGGGUGAAAGCUCCCGGCUCAACUGGGAGAGGUCCUUGCAUACUGGCAAACUCGAGGGAGGCAGAGGAAAGUGGAAUUCCCGGUGUAGUGGUGAUAUGCGUAGAUAUCGGGAGGAACACCUGUGGCGAAGGCGGCUUCUGGGCCUUACC
rnacentral:rRNA from 1 species